rnacentral:rRNA from 1 species
CCGACCUUUACAGAAGGGUUGCAUUUAUUAGAUAUAAACCGGCGCCUUCGGGUGUUUGAUGAAUCAUAAUAACUAAGCGGACCUAGGCCAAGCCUAGGCAGAUCAUUCAAGUUUCUGCCCUAUCAGCUUGUUGGUAGUGUAUUGGACUACCAAGGCAGUUACGGGUAACGGGGAAUAAGGGUUCGAUUCCGGAGAGGGAGCCUGAGAAACGGCUACCACAUCUAAGGAAGGCAGCAGGCGCGUAAAUUACCCAAUCCUAAUUCAGGGAGGUAGUG